AGAAUCAACGCUGGCGGCGUGCCUAACACAUGCAAGUCGAACGCGAAGCCCGCCUUCGGGGGGGUGGUAGCGUGGCGCACGGGUGAGUAACACGUGGGUAAUCUGCCUUCGGGUGGGGGAUAACGGCGCGAAAGCGUCGCUAAUACCGCAUAACACAGCGGCACCACAUGGUGACAGUUGUUAAAGGGGGGGAUCCUUUCGGGGGACCUCCCGCCGGAAGAGGAGCCCGCGCUCGAUUAGCUAGUUGGUGAGGUAAUGGCUCACCAAGGCAGUGAUCGAUAGCCGGCCUGAGAGGGCGGUCGGCCACACUGGCACUGAGACACGGGCCAGACUCCUACGGAGGCAGCAGUGGGAAUUUUGGGCAAUGGGCGCAAGCCUGACCCAGCAACGCCGCGUGAGGGACGAAAUCCCUUCGGAUGUAAACCUCGAAAGUUGGGAAAGAAGUCUAUCCGGGAAUAGUCCGAUAGGAGUGACGGUACCAACGUAAGCCCCGGCUAACUACGUGCCAGCAGCCGCGGUAAUC
rnacentral:rRNA from 1 species